AUGAGGGUGCCGCUCUGCCGCCUCCCGCUCCUCCUGCUCCUCGUCCUAGCCCUCUCGCCGGAGGGGACGCGGUGGCCGGGCGCCUCGGCGGCGACGGCCGCGGCGGCGCGGCGCAUCGCGCCGCUGCCAUCCGCCGCGCUGCGCCGCCUCUACGACACCUCCAACUACGGCAGGCUGCAGCUCAACAACGGCCUCGCCCUCUCCCCCCAGAUGGGGUGGAACAGCUGGAAUUUCUUCGCCUGCAACAUCAACGACACGCUCAUCCGCGAGACAGCUGAUGCAUUGGUUUCGACGGGGUUGGCUGAUUUGGGAUACAACUACAUAAACAUCGACGACUGUUGGUCGUAUGUGAAACGAGGAAAUAAGGAUCAAUUGCUACCUGAUCCAAAGACUUUCCCUUCUGGAAUCAAAUCACUUGCGGACUAUGUGCACGGAAAAGGUCUAAAACUUGGUAUCUACUCUGACGCUGGGGUAUUUACUUGUCAAGUUCGACCAGGAUCGCUCCAUCACGAAAAUGACGAUGCUGCCCUUUUUGCUUCAUGGGGUGUUGACUAUCUAAAGUACGACAACUGUUACAAUCUGGGAAUACCGCCAAAGGAAAGGUAUCCUCCAAUGCGUGAUGCUCUAAAUUCAACUGGGCGCCAGAUAUUCUACUCUCUAUGUGAAUGGGGCCAGGAUGAUCCAGCUUUAUGGGCUGGAAAAGUUGGAAACAGUUGGCGUACAACAGAUGACAUACAGGAUACAUGGAAAAGCAUGACUGACAUUGCUGAUAAGAACAACAAGUGGGCAUCAUAUGCUGGACCCGGUGGAUGGAAUGACCCGGACAUGCUGGAAGUUGGAAAUGGUGGCAUGACCUUUGCAGAGUACCGUGCACAUUUCAGCAUCUGGGCACUCAUGAAGGCACCUCUCUUAAUUGGUUGUGAUGUCAGAAAUAUGACUUCACAGACAAUUGAAAUAUUGAGCAACAAAGAAGUAAUUCAAGUAAACCAAGAUCCUCUUGGAGUUCAAGGAAGAAGAAUUUUGGGUCAGGGAAAGGGUGGAUGCCGUGAGGUGUGGGCUGGCCCCCUCUCUGGCAACCGUUUGGCUGUUGCUUUAUGGAAUCGUUGUUCGGAGACGGUUAAUAUCACAAUGUCAUUGCCAGCUGUAGGCCUUGAUGGUUCAUCUGCCUAUUCUGUUAGAGAUCUGUGGAAGCAUGAAACUCUAUCGGCGAACGUGGUAGGAACUUUUGGAGCCCAAGUCGCCGUGCACGACUGCAAGAUGUACAUUUUUACUCCCACCGUCGGUUUUUCUGCAAGUUGGUGA
rnacentral:rRNA from 1 species